rnacentral:rRNA from 1 species
UACGAAGGGGGCUAGCGUUGCUCGGAAUCACUGGGCGUAAAGCGCACGUAGGCGGACUCUUAAGUCGGUGGUGAAAUCCUGGAGCUCAACUCCAGAACUGCCUUCGAUACUGGGAGUCUCGAGUUCGGGAGAGGUGAGUGGAACUGCGAGUGUAGAGGUGAAAUUCGUAGAUAUUCGCAAGAACACCAGUGGCGAAGGCGGGUCUCUGGGCCGAUACUGACGCUGAGGAGCGAAAGCGUGGGGAGCGAACAGG